GGAUGAGUGGUCGAGUGGUUUAAGGCGUUAGUUUUGAAAACUAUUGUAUUAUAAAAUACCGUGGGUUCGAAUCCCACCUUAUCCU
rnacentral:tRNA from 1 species